UGCAGUCGACGACUCUGGUAUUGAUUGGUGCUUGCAUCAUGAUUUACAUUUGAGUGAGUGGCGAACUGGUGAGUAACACGUGGGAAACCUGCCCAGAAGCGGGGGAUAACACCUGGAAACAGAUGCUAAUACCGCAUAACAACUUGGACCGCAUGGUCCGAGUUUGAAAGAUGGCUUCGGCUAUCACUUUUGGAUGGUCCCGCGGCGUAUUAGCUAGAUGGUGGGGUAACGGCUCACCAUGGCAAUGAUACGUAGCCGACCUGAGAGGGUAAUCGGCCACAUUGGGACUGAGACACGGCCCAAACUCCUACGGGAGGCAGCAGUAGGGAAUCUUCCACAAUGGACGAAAGUCUGAUGGAGCAACGCCGCGUGAGUGAAGAAGGGUUUCGGCUCGUAAAACUCUGUUGUUAAAGAAGAACAUAUCUGAGAGUAACUGUUCAGGUAUUGACGGUAUUUAACCAGAAAGCCACGGCUAACUACGUGCCAGCAGCCGCGGUAAUACGUAGGUGGCAAGCGUUGUCCGGAUUUAUUGGGCGUAAAGCGAGCGCAGGCGGUUUUUUAAGUCUGAUGUGAAAGCCUUCGGCUCAACCGAAGAAGUGCAUCGGAAACUGGGAAACUUGAGUGCAGAAGAGGACAGUGGAACUCCAUGUGUAGCGGUGAAAUGCGUAGAUAUAUGGAAGAACACCAGUGGCGAAAGCGGCUGUCUGGUCUGUAACUGACGCUGAGGCUCGAAAGUAUGGGUAGCAAACAGGAUUAGAUACCCUGGUAGUCCAUACCGUAACGAUGAUGCUAAGUGUUGGAGGGUUUCCGCCCUUCAGUGCUGCAGCUACGCAUAGCAUUCGCCUGGG
rnacentral:rRNA from 2 species